GUUUGCCGGCCCCGUUGUAGCGCGGCCGUUUCUCUUUCACUCCAGUGUCGCAGAGAGAGGUGCUCGAAUUAUUUCCAUCAGUGCAGUAUAGCGCCUCCGGUCCUGGGGGUUUGAUUGCUCCCUUCACCUCUCCGUGGCGAAUCGCCCAACCUUAAUUGGAGAAUUGAGACGCCUACCUAGUCGCUGUUUGAGGGCCCCUCCUCAGUGGAGCUGCUGUCUUGUCCCGUCUUGUUUCCCGUUUCGUUUCUUGCCAGAUUGACUGUGACGUCAUAGCACUGAUGGAUGACGCAACUUUGGCAAACUACAUUCCCUCGCACGGAGACCGAAUUGCCCUCUUCAAUUUCUGCAAAAGCAAGCAACCACUGUCAAAAAGAAAACUAGGACUUCUGCAAAAACUUCGUGAGAAAAUGAAAACCAGAAAAGAAAGUCCAAAGGAGAACACCUCACAUACAGAUGCAGGAAUAAGACAGACAAAGAAGCAAAAAGCAACACGAAAUGUUGAGAUAGGAUGGAUACAUAGUGAUGGAAAAGUAGCCAAACAGGUGAGAGCGAAGCAGGGAGGUGGCACUAGAAAAAUUCAAAUGGCCACUGAUGCUGGAUUAAAAGAUAUUCUUCAAGAAGGAAAGAAACUUUUUUUUCCUGAUGGCAUAUCUCCUAAGGGAUGUGAAACAGAUUUUGAGUUUGAGGUUUGGGACUUUGGCAGGUAUCAUCAGUAAGGUGGUUCUGUUUAGUCUAUUGGCAAUAUGUAUGAGGCAGCGAGACUGACAAUGUUACGCUUCUACAUCGCAACAAAACCAAAAGAUCCUGAAGAAGAUGCCAGCGAGACAUCUGAAGUGGUGUUUGUCUCAGAAAGCAGUGGCAGUGAUAGUA